AACACCUCCUUAUGUCAUCAUAUCAACACCUAAAAACACCAAAUAUCAUAUAUCUAUGUGUAUAUGUUUGUAUAUAUGUUUGUUUUCUGUGUUUUGUGCUGUUUUCCUUUACCUAUUUGUACAAAUAUUCUAUAAUUUAGCCAUCAGGUAGUGUUCUGCUGCCCUCUGGUGUAAAAUAUUGACAUUGCAUCUUCAGGGAUCACUGGUCAGAGGUCAGCAAACCCCCAAACACCAACAACAGGCUACUACCUUUAGUUUAAACCUCAAAGCUUCUUUCUCUAGCCACAUAUCUACCUUCAUUUGACAUUGUCCCACUUUUUAAGGAGUUACAAGAGGAACAUUUUGCAGGAGAGUUUCAAACGGAGGAUAAAAGACUCUGCAAAAGGAAUCUCUUCCCAGCAGCGGGAUCCCCGGCAGGUCAGCGGGGGCAGUAUAAUUCCCCGAUCGGCCUUUACUCCCCGGAGACUGUGAAGGAAAUGAUGCAAAUGCAGGGCAAGUUAGGCGAGGGAUCUGCAGCUGCCCUAGGAGUUUCAUCACUGUUUGGGUAGGUCAGCACGUUUUUACCUCCGGUUCUAAGAAGGAGAUUUAACUCCUUCAAGGAUCCCCUAAAACCAGCACUCCUACUAAAAUAGUGCAAUAAGAUGUCACAAAAAUACUACUUUUCACUAUAAAUAGUAAACUAUGUGGCACUUUUCUACCUCAGUGGCGCCUUAUGGGUGUUUCCCCCCAGAGGAAUGAAGUCACACCUCCCUGGUUUAACCUCACAUUAACGGGACCUUGAUGACAAAAUGUACUCGGAACUUUCCACUGCCAUCCCAGUAUUCAUACAUCUCACACGUGGCACUAUUUCAGGAUUGUACACACAAGCGUACCUGGCCGGCGUCCAGGUAACAGAAUAGCAGGAGAUCGGACUACAGGGUCAUUCUGGGAUCUCUGUUACAGAUCUGUAAGACUCUGUACUAAAGGUUGAGCCACCUCAGCGCUGCAUUCAGAUGUCUCAUAUGCCGUCCAGAAAAGUCAGAGUGGAGAGGGCAGGGCUUAGAAGAGGGUGUGAAUGAGCUUCUGGGUGCUUCAAAUCUCCUGAAUGGUGCAUUUAUUGUGAAAUAGAAAUGAAACCAGAGAGAUGAUGCUGCAAAAAUGGCAUGAACUCUUUUUGCUGUUUCAGCUCCUCUGAAACAUGCAUCUGCCCCUUUUUCCCCCCGACACUGAUGGGAAUCCAAAGCCCAGAGCAGAGUUUUUAUUCUAUUUGAAGCAGAGACUUGCUUGUGAUGCUUUUUUAAAGUCGGUGAUGUGGAGGUAACUACAGUAGAGGUAAACGUUGGGUCACGUAACAGCCAUCAGCCAGCAGAGGUCCCUUAACUGACAUACAGGUUCCUGUAUUUAAUCUUCACCUUUAUAAAAAAAAAAAAUAUCUGAAUAUUGUAGAUGAGCAGUGAAUUUUUUUUUUUUUAAAAAAGCUCAUUACACCUCCCAGAGCUGAGUAGUGAUGUCUUCAAAUGUGUUGUUUUGUCCAACUUUAGUGAUUAGAAGAACAACAGAAAACAAUCUUAAUUAAACAAAAAAUGGAAAACCGAUUAAUUUUUACGAUUUUUGGCUAAAACUUUGCCUAAAUCCUAUUAAUUAACUGAUUGCUUGAAAAAUAGUUUCUGUUGAGCAACUAAUUGAAUCUCAUUAGCUUGAUGAAUCAUUUUAGCCACAUUAUCUGCUAUACUACAAUUACUGAAAGAUACUCAAACUUAUUUUGGUAUAUUUGGCCAUUUUCAGCUCGGAUCACUGGAUGAAAAACAUGUCCAAUAUAUAUGAUAAAUAUUAAAAACUAUAUGAAAAAUAGAGCUACAAAAUAUUUUCUUAAAUCUAAAUAGAUAGAUAGAUAGAUAGAUAGAUAGACAGAUAGACAGAUACUGUAGAUAGAUAGAUAGAUAGAUAGAUAGAUAGAUAGAUAGAUAGAUAGAUAGAUAGAUAGAUAGAUAGAUAGAUAGAUAGAUAGAUAGAUAGACAGAUAGACAGAUACUAUAGAUAGAUAGAUAGAUAGAUAGAUAGAUAGAUAGAUAGAUAGAUAGAUAGAUAGAUAGAUAGAUAGAUAGAUACUUUAUUCAUCCCAGGAGAAAUAAAAUACCAAACCAACGAUGAGAUAGUCUGUAACCUUUAAAUCCCCAAAUCUGUAGGUUUCUCAGAAAUAAUUUUUGAAAAAAGCCAUGAAUAUAUAGUUGUAUUUUCUAAAAUAGCUCACUAGUUUCCUAGAACAGUAAGUAAGGAUUAAGUCGUGCAUUUGUCAGGGACUAUUUUGAGCCCUGCACGUUUUGAGCUCUGAGUAUUUCUGGCAGAAGGACCAAGCGGGGUUGACUCAAAAUAAACUACAAUGCCCAGGUAAAUGUCACUGUAUUCAUAAAUAUAGACCGCAUCAGGCUGUAUAUUUAGUUGACAUUGCGUUGUUGGUGGUGGACUUCAUAUGGGAUUUAUUGAUCCACAAUACUUUAAUCCUGCCUGAACUUUACGCUGCAGUAGCUGGAGUUCUGUAGGACUUUAGUCAUAGCCGCUGUGAGGGGAGUCUCCUCAGAGGGAUGAGUUUGGCUGAACUCACUCACAGAAUACUUGCGGAGGUUAAUUAAGGGUGUAAUCUGUUCGCGGUCCGACGUAUCACAUCCAAGUAUCAGUCUCCACUAAUGUGUUUCUCUUCUGGAGCCGAGCUGCUUUACAGUAACGGCCAAACGGUAAGUCAGGUGUUGGGAAACGUGCUUCAGGCAGAGCUCAGAAUGAUGACGGCAUUGUCACGAAGGCAGCUGAGUACAUUCAGCACACACACACACACACACACACACACACACACACACACACACACACACACACACACACACACACACACACACACACACACACACACACACACACACACACA